UACAUGGGGUGCAAACGUUGCUCGGAAUUAUUGGGCGUAAAGCGCACGUAGGCGGUUUGUUAAGUCGGAUGUGAAAUCCCUCGGCUCAACUGAGGAAGUGCAUCCGAAACUGGCAGGCUUGAGUACUAAAGAGGGUCGCGGAAUUCCCGGUGUAGAGGUGAAAUUCGUAGAUAUCAGGAGGAACACCGGUGGCGAAGGCGGGUCUCUGGGCCGAUACUGACGCUGAGGAGCGAAAGCGUGGGGAGCGAACAGG
rnacentral:rRNA from 1 species